rnacentral:rRNA from 1 species
AUACGGAGGGUGCGAGCGUUAAUCGGAAUUACUGGGCGUAAAGCGUACGUAGGCGGUUGGUUAAGUUAGAUGUGAAAGCCCCGGGCUUAACCUGGGAACUGCAUUUAAAACUGGCGAACUAGAGUUGAGUAGAGGGGAGUGGAAUUUCAGGUGUAGCGGUGAAAUGCGUAGAGAUCUGAAGGAACACCAGUGGCGAAGGCGACUCCCUGGACUCGAACUGACGCUGAGGUACGAAAGCGUGGGUAGCAAACGGGAGUAGAAACCCCAGUAGUCC